AUUUAUCUAAUAUAAUAAGUAUAUUUGACUUCCAAUCAAAAAGUUUGAAUAACAAGAUAAAUA
rnacentral:tRNA from 1 species